GUACCUUAGGUCAGGUGGUAGAGCAACGGACUGAAAAUCCGUGUGUCCCUGGUUCGAUUCCUGGAGGUACCA
rnacentral:tRNA from 1 species